AUGAGGCCAGACAAGUCGUUGUGCCAAUCCAAUGACUUUCCAUUUCCAACAAUGGAAAGUCAUCCGAAGAAUCAUGUCUCGGUGAGUAGUCCAGCUCCAGCAACAAGACCACAUCUGGUUUCCACCAAGAAGCUGGACCAGCGGCAUUGUACUCAGUUAAGGGCGUAUUUCAGAGGGGAGCAUACGUAUUACUGUGAUUCCCUUGAGUUUCGUGUGCUGCAUUACCGUUAUAAGUUACCAGCAGCAAAGAAAGAGAGUCACGUACUAAUACAUGAUAAGGUAGUCUGCUCUUGCAGAUCAUCUGGUUGA
rnacentral:rRNA from 1 species